UGCAGGUGACCUGCACUCACAGGCAGCUGCCCUUCCCCCCACCUGCAGCGUGCAGUUGAAUCUCAGAGCUGAACGAGAAGAUACAGCAGAUGCUACCUUUUAAAAGAUUGGAGCGACUCAACUAAAGAAAAGACUACUUUUAAACUGUUUCUGUGCAGGUCCAGAAGUUGAUGGCUGUGAGAAAAACACAGUUGGACUGUGUCUUUGAGGAGUCAGGAAGUGAUUUCUCUGGGUCUGAACUAUGCAGCCACACUGGAUUGGACCCAGAU